UAACUCAUCUGCUAUCAGGCUCGUGCUGCACAGAAUAGUCGCAACUAUGCAAUGCAUUUCAACGAUGUAACGCACAUCGAUUGUCAUCUGCAUGAACGAAAGCAUUGCGUUUCCUUUGGUGUCGGGUAGAGUUUCCUGGCAGGGGGUUCUUAGUUCAUUGUUUCACAUCGAAUCGCGCUGGAUCAUUGGGUUUAUUGGCUCUACCCCUCCAAAUGUAGAUUCAAUGAUCGCGGGAGCUGUGCCCACCAGCUUCUUGUGAGCAGGUGUAGCUGCGGAUGGACACAACCUUGUUCAUGUGUGAAAUUUGCAUCUCUUCGCGAGCUCAUCAUCAAUGUGAGGGGCAGGGUUAUCCAAAAAAACAAGGACGUUAAACCGGGAAACCCUAAGCCCUAAACCCAAAACUUGUGCAAGUCUCCGGCCUGCACCAGUGUGUUUAUCGUUGAGGUUCUUGGACGCCUUGGUGGGGUUCCUCGAUCGCUUUUUCAAUCCAAAGAGAUCAGUACUAAUGUACGUGCUCAUGUUUUAGAGAACAAUAUUUUGGACAGCCAUAAUGCUUGACAUGAUUCCUUGUUGCCCGUA